rnacentral:rRNA from 1 species
UACGUAGGGUGCGAGCGUUAAUCGGAUUUACUGGGCGUAAAGCGCGCGCAGGUGGUUUCUUAAGUCUGAUGUGAAAGCCCACGGCUCAACCGUGGAGGGUCAUUGGAAACUGGGAGACUUGAGUGCAGAAGAGGAAAGUGGAAUUCCAUGUGUAGCGGUGAAAUGCGUAGAUAUAUGGAGGAACACCGGUGGCGAAAGCGGCUCUCUGGACUGUAACUGACACUGAGGCUCGAAAGCGUGGGUAGCAAACAGG